AUUGAACGCUGGCGGCAGGCCUAACACAUGCAAGUCGAACGAGUGGCGGACGGGUGAGUAAUGUCUGGGAAACUGCCUGAUGGAGGGGGAUAACUACUGGAAACGGUAGCUAAUACCGCAUACCAUCAGAUGUGCCCAGAUGGGAUUAGCUAGUUGUUGGGGUAACGGCUCACCAAGGCGACGAUCCCUAGCUGGUCUGAGAGGAUGACCAGCGAAACUGGAACGGAGACACGGUCCAGAGUCGUACGGGAGGCAGCAGUGGGGAAUAAGGCACAAUGGGCGAAAGAGUGAUGCAGCCAUGCCGCGUGUAUGAAGAAGGCGUGCGGGUUGUAAAGUACUGUCAGCGGGGAGGCGGUACCCGAAGAAGAAGCACCGGCUAACUCCGUGCCAGCAGCCGCGGUAAUUC
rnacentral:rRNA from 1 species